UACUAUCACAAGGAAACCUGACCAUAGU
rnacentral:piRNA from 1 species